rnacentral:rRNA from 1 species
UCGAGAAUCUUUCGCAAUGCCCGAAAGGGUGACGAAGCGACGCCGCGUGCGGGAGGAAGGCCUUCGGGUUGUAAACCGCUGUCGGGAGUUAAGAAAUGCAAGGAUGUUAAUAGCGUUCUUGCUUGACUAAGGCUCCGGAGGAAGCCACGGCUAACUCUGUGCCAGCAGCCGCGGUAAUACAGAGGCGGCAAGCGUUGUUCGGAAUUACUGGGCGUAAAGCGUGCGCAGGCGGCGCCAUAAGACAGAUGUGAAAUCCCCGGGCUUAACCUGGGAACUGCGUUUGUGACUGUGGUGCUCGAGUGCGGCAGAGGGGGGUGGAAUUCCACGUGUAGCAGUGAAAUGCGUAGAGAUGUGGAGGAACACCGAUGGCGAAGGCAGCCCCCUGGGUCGACACUGACGCUCAUGCACGAAAGCGUGGGGAGCAAACAGGAUUAGAUACCCCUGUAGUCCCUGAGCGGGCUGGCAAGGCGCAU